rnacentral:pre_miRNA from 1 species
AAUGGAAUUGCUGGGUCAUAUGAUAAUUACUCUUUUGAGGAACUGCCACUGUUUUCCAAAGCGGCUGCAUCAAUUUACAUUCCUACCAGCAAU